rnacentral:rRNA from 1 species
AUACGGAGGAUGCAAGCGUUAUCCGGAUUUAUUGGGUUUAAAGGGUGCGUAGGCGGACAGUCAAGCAGGGGGUGAAAUGCCGGCGCUCAACGCCGGAGCUGCCUUCUGAACUGGCUGUCUGGAGUGGCAGUGCCGUUGGAGGAAUGAGUGGGGUAGCGGUGAAAUGCUUAGAUAUCACUCAGAACACCGAUUGCGUAGGCAGCUGACCAGACCGCAAAUGACGCUCAUGCACGAAAGCGUGGGUAUCAAACAGGAUUAGAUACCCUGGUAGUCCACGCUGUAAACGAUGAUUACUGGUUGUUUGCGAUACAUUGCAAGUGACUGAGCGAAAGCAUUAAGUAAUCCACCUGGGGGGUACGUCGGCAACGAUGAAACUCAAAGGAAUUGACGGGG